rnacentral:piRNA from 1 species
UGCUUCUAAUGGAUAUAUGGUACCAGC